UAGCCUAGUGGUUAAGGCUAUGAAUUGCCAAUCCGGAGACGGCGGGUUCGAUUCCUGU
rfam:Aedes albopictus isolate Foshan contig14715, whole genome shotgun sequence.